rnacentral:tRNA from 1 species
GGUCCGUUCGACAAGUGGUUAAGUCAUUGCCCUUUCACGGCAAAGUCAGGGGUUCAAAUCCCCUACGGACUA